CGUUAGCGGCGGACGGGUGAGUAACACGUGGGUAACCUACCUAUAAGACUGGGAUAACUUCGGGAAACCGGAGCUAAUACCGGAUAAUAUUUCGAACCGCAUGGUUCGAUAGUGAAAGAUGGUUUUGCUAUCACUUAUAGAUGGACCUGCGCCGUAUUAGCUAGUUGGUAAGGUAACGGCUUACCAAGACGACGAUACGUAGCCGACCUGAGAGGGUGAUCGGCCACACUGGAACUGAGACACGGUCCAGACUCCUACGGGAGGCAGCAGCU
rnacentral:rRNA from 1 species